AGGGAAUCUUCCACAAUGGACGAAAGUCUGAUGGAGCAACGCCGCGUGAGUGAUGAAGGUUUUCGGAUCGUAAAACUCUGUUGUAAGGGAAGAACCAGUACGUCAGGCAAUGGACGUACCUUGACGGUACCUUAUUAGAAAGCCACGGCUAACUACGUGCCAGCAGCCGCGGUAAUACGUAGGUGGCAAGCGUUGUCCGGAAUUAUUGGGCGUAAAGCGCGCGCAGGUGGUUUCUUAAGUCUGAUGUGAAAGCCCACGGCUCAACCGUAGUAAGCCUUUGAAACUGGGGAACUUGAGUGCAGGAGAGGAGAGUGGAAUUCCUAGUGUAGCGGUGAAAUGCGUAGAUAUUAGGAGGAACACCAGUGGCGAAGGCGACUCUCUGGACUGCAACUGACGCUGAGGCACGAAAGCGUGGGGAGCGAACA
rnacentral:rRNA from 1 species